rnacentral:rRNA from 1 species
UACAGAGGGUGCGAGCGUUGUUCGGAAUCACUGGGCGUAAAGCGCAUGUAGGUGGUACGUUAAGUUGAAUGUGAAAUCCCUUGGCUCAACCGAGGACGUGCAUUCAAAACUGGCGAACUAGAGUGUCGGAGGGGGUGGCGGAAUUCCUAGUGUAGAGGUGAAAUUCGUAGAUAUUAGGAGGAACACCCGUGGCGAAGGCGGCCACCUGGACGACAACUGACACUGAGAUGCGAAAGCGUGGGUAGCAAACGGG